GGGGACGUAGCUCAGUGGCAGAGUGGUUGCUUUGUAUGUGCAAGAGCCUGGGUUUGAUUCCCAGCAUCACAA
rfam:Ictidomys tridecemlineatus contig085484, whole genome shotgun sequence.